rnacentral:lncRNA from 1 species
GUCCAGUCUGAGUAUGGGCAUAACCUAUUCUAAUAUCCACAUUUACCUUUUGUUUCAGCAGCUCCCUGGCUCAUGCACAUGCAAAACAUUUGAAUUUCCUGUUGGCUCAGAGUGUUUGCAUUGCAAGUGACAUCUGGCUGACAGGAACUUGGAGAAAUGGGAUACAAAGUGAAUGCUGCAGUUACCACGGUAUCAUAUUUAUCAAAAGGCUUAAGUUCUUACAUCUGGAAGAAUCUUUGGAUAAACAGCAGUCCUGAGGUAAUAUACCAUAAUGGCAAAAGCAUGCUGAAGAGGAUGGAGUGGAAAAGAAAGAGGAGAUUCUGCGUUGAUAAAUAAAGUAAUUUUCCUUCAGUUUACCUUCACAAAGUUUCUGGGUAGUUUAGAAGAGUGUUGUAGAAAAGAAUGUUGCCUGCUUGAAACAUUGCUUUCCCUAAAGGCGACACAGUAGUGUAUUGGAAGAUACUUGUUCUUCUAGAGAGAAUAAUUUCAGUUCUUGACCAUGGGUAUCUUCAGCUGGACUAAACAAAAAGUGUGGAAGGACUUCAGAAGAGAGAGAGCAAUUUUUACCCUCUGUUAUAGCUAAAUGCUGUUAUGACAUAUCUGAAGAUGUUGCUGGUGACUCAUUUUGGCCUAAUUUGUUUAACAUUUUGGUAGACUAUUUGUUUUUUCUCCUUUCCAUAUUAGCUUUGUACAGUUGGUGUUGAAUUUUUUUUGCUUUUUUAAAAAAGAUUUUUUCCACAUUAAUAAAAAUAGACUUUAUUUAUAGAUUUUUGUCUCA